AAUAACAAAUAAAAAUAUAUACAUCUCAAAAAAUAAAAAAAAACUAAAUGAUUGCACUAUUUUUUUUUUUAAGAUUAUUGUUGACUGUAGAUGUUUUCAAUACAUUAUUACCAAAUUUUCAAAAUCUAUUAGCUAGACCGUUCAGUAUAUUAAGUAGAUAGUCUGCCGUACUUAAUUAAUAGUUUUAAAUUUAAAAACUAAUUGUACAUAUUUUUUUUCUCAUCAACAUGGAAUAUUUCAUGUUACUUUCUUUGGAUAAAUAAUUUUCAUUGUAC